rnacentral:misc_RNA from 1 species
AUAAUCUUCAGUAUAUUAUUGAAAGAAAUUUCAUUAUAUAAAUGCCUCUAUGAUCAAUAAAACAUAGAGAUGCUUGAUGACAAAUUCAAAACCGCAAUAAGAGACGCAAGAAGGAGUGUUGGAGAUGCCUUAUUUGUUGUAGAUAAGGAGUUGAGAAGAUAAAGAUUAUAUACAAUAAAAUUAAAAAGACAUUGCCAACAACUUCUAUCAUAUUUUUUUUGAAUUUUCUGUUAUGUUUUUAAAUUUUACAUUCAUAAUCUUCAAUAGAUUAUUGGAUUGAAAUUGAUUUUGUAUAAUCAUGAUAUACACUUUAUGCUAACAAUAAAAGAAAAAAUAUAUUUACUUCCAUUUCUAAAUCCAAGAUUGGUAGAUAGGUUAGUAAGUUAGAGCAAACUAGUCCUAUAGGAUGAUAAUCAAUUCAUAUCAUCUCUGACUCUGAUGAUGCCUACAAACUGAAAAUGAGAUCAGUGAAGGCUUGCUCACAGCAUGGAAUUGUAAGACCACCCAGUGGAUGAUUAAAUCCAAACUCUUCUUCAGCUUGACUCAGCAAGUUCUGAAAGGAAGGAUGCUUCAAGUAUGAUAUUGGAACAGUGAA